GGCUGAGGCAGCGCGCGCACAGCACACACAGACCAACCGACAGCUGACUAGCCCAGCCGGGUAGAGCGAGAGGGAGAGGUGGGGAACGAAACGACAGACGGUGGAAUUGCAUGGAAGACUCACCGCACUCUUGUAGAAACACCGAUAUUGAAACACCUGAGGCUGGAGCUGCUGUGAUCUGAGGCACUGUCCCUACAUGCCUGUACCAGUCUAAGGACUCCAGUAGUUGCUUUCAAACACACCAUCUCCACAUUACCACAGAACCAUAGGGUCCAACCCUGGCCUCUGCUCCAAGGAGCCACCUAACCACCCUCCACACCCAUUGAUGGUUCUAGAAGAAGAUCUGAGCUGCUUGUGUCCCACACGACGGCAGGCCAUGCAUUUUGCCUAAACCCAUCCUCCCUCUUCCUCUCAACCAAUCCGAGGCAGCCAUGAACCCCCAGGAGGCGGAGUUAGGCCAGGAACUGAGCGAGGACGUGGAAGCCGACUUGCCCCCUCCUCAACGCCGUCGCCACGACAACAACACUGCCACAAACAGCAGGCGACCCCGGCAGCCUAGCAACCAUAGUAGUGAAAACAACAACCAUGCUGCACCGCGCUACAGGAGGUAUAAUGAGGCCCCUGGUGCAGGUGGCAGCAGAAUCAGAGGAGCCCCACAGCGGAGGUCAACAGAGGAGCC
ensembl:lncRNA